AUUGAACGCUAGCGGGAUGCUUACACAUGCAAGUCGAACGAGUGGCGGACGGGUGAGUAAUAUAUCGGAAAGUGCCCAGUAGCGGGGGAUAACUACGCGGAAGAGUGCUCUACAGCCUACUAUUGGAGCUGCCCAUAGUGGAGUAGCUCGUUGGGGGGGUAAAGGCUCACCAAGGCAACGCUCCCUAGCUGGUGUGAGAGGACGACCAGCCACACUGGGACUGAGACACGGCCCAGACUCCUACGGGAGUCAGCAGUGGGGAAUUUUGGACAAUGGGGGAAACCCUGAUCCAGCCAUCCCGCGUGUAUGAUGAAGGCUUCGGGUUGUAAAGUACUUUUGGCAGAGAAGCGGUAUCUGCAGAAGAAGCACCGGCUAACUACGUGCCAGCAGCCGCGGUAAUUC
rnacentral:rRNA from 1 species